rnacentral:rRNA from 1 species
GAUGAACGCUGGCGGCGUGCCUAAUACAUGCAAGUCGAACGAGGUAGCUUGCUACCGAGUGGCGAACGGGUGAGUAACACGUUGGUAAUCUACCAUUCAGUUGGGGAUACCCAGACGAAAGUUUGGCUAAUACCGUAAUACGUAAUAAGGUGAAAUUCCUUAUUAUAAAAGGAGCGUUUGCUCCGCUGAUUGAUGAGCCUGCGUCUGAUUAGCUAGUUGGUGAGAUAAUAGCCCACCAAGGCGAGGAUCAGUAGCCGAACUGAGAGGUUGAUCGGCCACAAUGGAACUGAGACACGGUCCAUACUCCUACGGGAGGCAGCAGUAGGGAGUUUUCGUCAAUGGGGGCAACCCUGAACGAGCAACGCCGCGUGAGUGAUGAAGGUCUUCGGAUUGUAAAACUCUGUUGUAAGGGAUAAAUGAUUCGAUUAGGAAAUGAAUUGAAUUUGAUAGUACCUUAUUAGAAAGCAACGACUAACUUCGUGCCAGCAGUCGCGGUAAUACGAAGGUUGCAAGCGUUAUCCGGAAUUAUUGGGCGUAAAGAGUGAGCAGGCGGCUUAUUAAGUUUGAAGUUAAAUCGUAGGGCUUAACCCUAUUUCGCUUCAAAAACUGGUAGGCUAGAGUAUGUGAGAGGUAAGUAGAACUCCAUGUGUAGCGGUAAAAUGCGUAGAUAUAUGGAAGAAUACCAGUGGCGAAGGCGGCUUACCAGCACAAUACUGACGCUCAGUCACGAAAGCGUGGGGAGCAAAUAGGAUUAGAUACCCUAGUAGUCCACGCCGUAAACGAUGAUUACUAAAUGUUCGGGCAACCGAGCGCUGAAGCUAACGCAUUAAGUAAUCCGCCUGGGAAGUACGAUCGCAAGAUUGAAACUUAAAGGAAUUGACGGGGUCCCGCACAAGUAGUGGAGCAUGUGGUUUAAUUCGACGCUACGCGAAGAACCUUACCUGGGCUUGACAUAACACGAAAAUAUCUAUGAAAGUAGGUUAAUAUAGCAAUAUAUAUAUGUUACAGGUGGUGCAUGGUUGUCGUCAGCUCGUGUCGUGAGAUGUUGGGUUAAGUCCCGCAACGAGCGCAACCCUUGUCCUUAGUUGCCAAUAUUAAGUUAGGAACUCUAGGGAGACUGCCGGUGUUAAACCGGAGGAAGGUGGGGAUGACGUCAAAUCAUCAUGCCCUUUAUGUCCAGGGCGACACACGUGCUACAAUGGCCGGUACAAAGAGCUGCGAUACCGCGAGGUGGAGCGAAUCUCAUAAAGCCGGUCUCAGUACGGAUUGAAGUCUGCAACUCGACUUCAUGAAGCUGGAAUUACUAGUAAUCGCGAAUCAGCCAUGUCGCGGUGAAUACGUUCUCGGGGCUUGUACACACCGCCCGUCAAACCAUGAGAGCUGGUAAUACUUGAAGUCGUUAUCCUAACCGCAAGGAGGGAGACGCCUAAGGUAGGACUGGUGAUUGGGGUUA